rnacentral:rRNA from 1 species
UUCGAUGCAACGCGAAGAACCUUACCCAGGCUUGACAUGACAGAUGACCGCUCUAAGAAAUAGAGUUUUUCCGUUCGGACAUUGCACAGGUGCUGCAUGGCUGUCGUCAGCUCGUGCCGUGAGGUGUUGGGUUAAGUCCCGCAACGAGCGCAACCCUUAUCAUUAGUUGCCAACAGGUGAAGCUGGGAACUCUAAUGAGACUGCCUGGGUUAACCAGGAGGAAGGUGAGGAUGACGUCAAGUCCGCAUGGCCCUUAUGUCUGGGGCUACACACGUGCUACAAUGGUCGGUACAGAAGGCAGCGAAACCGCGAGGUGAAGCAAAUCCAACAAAGCCGAUCUCAGUUCAGAUUGUAGUCUGCAACUCGACUACACGAAGACGGAAUUGCUAGUAAUGGCGAGUCAGCAACAUCGCCGUGAAUACGUUCCCGGGUCUU